AGUUGCUUGUAAGUUUGGUUAUAGUCUUAGGGUGAUGAUGCCUAGAAGUAUGGUCUAGGUCUAAGUAGAAGCAUGGUGCAAGUGUCUGUACUAAGUAGAAGUAACUUGUAUAAGUAUAUGUUGUGUGUCUUGUAAGAAGUAUCUGGUGAUCCAAGUUUAUUAUCAAUGUAGUCUUUCAAAAAGAAAAACGUGUUCGUGUGUUUGUCUCUAAACAAGAACAAAACAGAGUGCAACAAAGAGAGAAACUAAAGAGAUAGAGUGAAAACAGAGAAUCAUAACAAAAACUCUAUAGAAACCGAAACCCUUGCUC